rnacentral:rRNA from 1 species
UACGGGGGGGAGCAAGCGUUGUUCGGAUUUACUGGGCGUAAAGGGCGCGUAGGCGGCCACCGCAAGUCGAUUGUGAAAUCUCCGGGCUUAACCCGGAAAGGUCAACCGAUACUGCGGGGCUAGAGUGCAGAAGGGGCAACUGGAAUUCUCGGUGUAGCGGUGAAAUGCGUAGAUAUCGAGAGGAACACCUGCGGCGAAGGCGGCCCCCUGGUUGGAUACUGACGCUGAUACGCGAAAGCGUGGGGAGCAAACAGG